rnacentral:tRNA from 1 species
GCUUCCUUGGCUCAGUUGGUAGAGCGUUGGUCUCAUAUUGAUCGUAUGAGUAAUCUCAACUGGAUUACGCAAUCCAAAGGUCGUGAGUUCGAGCCUCACAGGGAGCA